CAGCAGCAGCCGCGGUAAUACGAAGGGUGCAAGCGUUACUCGGAAUUACUGGGCGUAAAGCGUGCGUAGGUGGUGGUUUAAGUCCGUUGUGAAAGCCCUGGGCUCAACCUGGGAAUUGCAGUGGAUACUGGGUCACUAGAGUGUGGUAGAGGAUAGUGGAAUUUCCGGUGUAGCAGUGAAAUGCGUAGAGAUCGGAAGGAACAUCUGUGGCGAAGGCGACUAUCUGGGCCAACACUGACACUGAGGCACGAAAGCGUGGGGAGCAAACAGGAUUAGAUACCCCCGUAGUCCCUGUCUCUUAUAC
rnacentral:rRNA from 1 species